UUCAUCAUCUUCUUCCUCCUUUUGUUUUCUGUUUUGGUUUUCCUUGCUUCUUAAAAGGCUGACCUCACUGGCCACUAGUAGCGCUCCCACUAUUGCCACACAACCGUUGUUCUCGUAAGAAAAGAAGCUUGAAACUAUCGUGUGUUGAAAGUGCAGCAACCGAAGAAUAUAUUAUAAAAAGAUGUCUGUAUUUUAAGCCUAAGCCUCGGCAACAGGCCAGGCCGCCGCCGGGGCCUGCUGGGUUCGGGCCGAGAAAAAUCUGGCCUGUGCCAGGCCCGAACCAGAUAAGCCGGCCCGGCAGUAGCCCGGCCCGGCCCGACUCCCCGCCCUCGGGCCUCCCUCCCCGCUCUCCUCCCUCUCGGCAGUCCGCCCUGACUCCCUCUCCCUCUCCCUUGUUUCCCUCUGCGCUCCCUCUCUUCUCCCCCUCACCCUCUCCCUCUCCCUCUCCGCUUCCCCUCCCCCUCUCCCUCUCCCUCUUGUAUUCAUACAUUUUUGCAACCAUCGAGCCCUGUAGGGCCCAUAGGUGGGGCCCAGGCAGCGCCAGGGCCUGGCCACCUUUUUUGAAAAAUUCAAGGUGCCCUUAUAAAAGUUUUGAAAAGUAUGUACGUGGUAAUAUUCCAACCCACAUGUACAUGUACGAGUUCCAAGUUUAAUUGGGGAAUGGACUUUUAGAAGGCCAGCAGUGUUGAGCCACCCUCUGCCUGUGUCUUGGGACCCAUAGUUUCUCGGAUUGACUACUGCAAUGAAGGACAUAUCACAAAUUUACUGGGCACCUUUUCAUUGGAAAAAUGGUGGCUCCAACGAACAUCACGAGACUCUGUGCAAGUAAGGAGAUCCUGACCGUUAAUGGUCAGCUUCCGGGACCAACUUUAUAUGUGAGCAAAGGCGACAGGUUGAUAGUGAAUGUCGUAAAUGAAGCUCCUUACCCGGUCACCAUCCACUGGUGAAUGGUGGGUAGGGGAUGUGAUGGCCAUGCUCCAGCAAAAGUUAUUGAAUGGUGGAAGUUUUAACGUAUCCAAUGCCUUCACCAUAAAUGGUCAACCAGGUGACCAACACAAUUGUUCUUCAAAAGGAACAACGAGAUUCGUCUUUGAGCAGGGCAAAAGCUACCUGCUUCGAAUCGUAAAUGGUGCGAUGCUCAGUGGACACUUUUUUGCAAUAGCAAAUCAUACCCUUACAGUUGUUGGCAGAGAUGGAUCCUAUCUCAAACCUUUUCAAAGAGACUUUCUCCUUCUAACCCCAGGCCAAACCAUGGAUGUCCUUGUGCAUGCCAACAAUCCAAAAGACCUUUAUUAUAUGGUCGUCAGUCCUUAUAUUGCAGCGACUGAAGAAGCCUCGGCAUUUUUUGACAGAACCAUAACCACAGCGAUAGUUGAAAUAAAAGGAAGUAAGAUAAUGAAAUAACAAUGCAUGUAUAUACCAUAGAUGAUAAAACAAAUGGAUAUUUGAUAAUAAAAUAAUGACUUUAUAGUGUGGAUGAUAAACAGAAGGAUAUGAGAUAACAUCCUUUUGUUUACCUUCUUCAGUACAUCAUUGUUUUUUCAUUAUCUCAUUUGUUUUUGUUUAUCUUCUACAGGAUGUACAUGCAUUGUUAAUUCAUUAUCUCAUAUCCUUUUAUUUAUCUUCUAUAGUAUAUUUAUGUGUUGUUAUUUCAUUAUCUUAUGUUUAUCUUAUAUAGUAUAUACAUGCGUUGUUAUAUCAUUAUCUCAUAUCCUUUUGUUUCUAUUUUCAACACACAUUGUUAUUUCACUUUUUUAUAUCCAUUUGUUUACCUUCAACUCUAUAUACCAUUGUUAUUUUACUAUAUUAUAUUCACUUGUUUAUCUUCAGCUCUAUAUAGGAUUGUUCUUCUACUAUUUUAUAUUUGUUCAUUUGCUUCUUGUAGAACAACCAUGUCUAUUUCAAUCAAUACGAAGAAUUCUACACCGAUUGUCCAUUGUGCGAUGUUUGUUGGGGUGAAGUCAACUUGUACAUUGGACAAAAUUUGAAGAGCUUAAAAAGAGAUAGAAUGAUAGGUGGGUACGACAUUUUGGCAGAACGAAAAAAGGAUGGGGAACCUGAAGAUGAAGCUGUCAUUGUAGCAUAUCUUAUGUGACCUGAGGUGAAGCAGACCGUGGAAAGGAAGAACGAAGGGGUGAAAGAAAAUGAGGAGGUGGAGGUGGUGGAAGUGAAGGGAUAGGCCACAGAUUUAGAGAAUGCAUGGGAGAAGGAAUUUGAAGAGGAGGAGGUGAUGAAAAUCAAGGAUAGGCUGUAGAGAGGCAAAAUGCAGGGGAGAAGGAAUUUGAGGAGGAGGAGGAGGUAGUAAAAAUGAAGGGACAUGCCACAAAGAUGGAGAAUGCAUGAGAGAUGGAAAUUGAGGAUGAGGAGACGGUGGAAGAGGAGUGAAUCCUAGAGAUGGAGAAUGAAAAUGAGGAGGAUAAUGAAGAUGAGAAUCCAUUGUUGGAUGAACUAGAGGGAUUAGUGUUAGAUGUGCUGACUAUGCCUGCACUAAAAAUUAGGGUUCCUAGGCGAAGGAGAAAACAGUCAACCAAAUUAGAAGUAGUAUAGAUAGUUGGAAAUAAAAAAGCACGAUCAUGUAAUGUCGAUAAAUACAGAUGUUGUCAUUGGCAUUCGGUCAUUGAUUGGUGUGAAGUUCUAUCAAACUUUCAAAAGCAGAGAUUGGCCACAAUGCAAUUAUUGGAGAUGUCGUCUUUUAGCACCAUGGAACUCCAAGGAGGCCCCUUGUAUGUCUUGGCACAGAAGUGGGAUUCUCGAACAAAUACAUUUAUGUUUGAUGGAUUUGAGAAGAUGACCUUAAAAAACAUUAUUAGGUUGUUGCAUCUGAGAACUCAUAGAAAACUUAUGCUCUUGAUGUCCAAGUACAGCUUGAUAGGGAAGAGUAACUAGUUUCUAGGGUUGAUAGAUUUUGUGUUUAAGAAAGUUGUGGCCUUUGGGGAAAGCUGGUAUCAUUAAUUGUUUUAGAGAUAUAUAAUAAAUGGCAACAUGCAACGCAUGAUUCA